AGAGUUUGAUCAUGGCUCAGAUUGAACGCUGGCGGCAGGCCUAACACAUGCAAGUCGAACGGUAACAGGAAGCAGCUUGCUGCUUCGCUGACGAGUGGCGGACGGGUGAGUAAUGUCUGGGAAGCUGCCUGAUGGAGGGGGAUAACUACUGGAAACGGUAGCUAAUACCGCAUAAUGUCGCAAGACCAAAGAGGGGGACCUUCGGGCCUCUUGCCAUCGGAUGUGCCCAGAUGGGAUUAGCUUGUUGGUGGGGUAACGGCUCACCAAGGCGACGAUCCCUAGCUGGUCUGAGAGGAUGACCAGCCACACUGGAACUGAGACACGGUCCAGACUCCUACGGGAGGCAGCAGUGGGGAAUAUUGCACAAUGGGCGCAAGCCUGAUGCAGCCAUGCCGCGUGUAUGAAGAAGGCCUUCGGGUUGUAAAGUACUUUCAGCGGGGAGGAAGGGAGUAAAGUUAAUACCUUUGCUCAUUGACGUUACCCGCAGAAGAAGCACCGGCUAACUCCGUGCCAGCAGCCGCGGUAAUACAGAGGGUGCAAGCGUUAAUCGGAAUUACUGGGCGUAAAGCGCACGCAGGCGGUUUGUUAAGUCAGAUGUGAAAUCCCCGGGCUCAACCUGGGAACUGCAUCUGAUACUGGCAAGCUUGAGUCUCGUAGAGGGGGGUAGAAUUCCAGGUGUAGCGGUGAAAUGCGUAGAGAUCUGGAGGAAUACCGGUGGCGAAGGCGGCCCCCUGGACGAAGACUGACGCUCAGGUGCGAAAGCGUGGGGAGCAAACAGGAUUAGAUACCCUGGUAGUCCACGCCGUAAACGAUGUCGACUUGGAGGUUGUGCCCUUGAGGCGUGGCUUCCGGAGCUAACGCGUUAAGUCGACCGCCUGGGGAGUACGGCCGCAAGGUUAAAACUCAAAUGAAUUGACGGGGGCCCGCACAAGCGGUGGAGCAUGUGGUUUAAUUCGAUGCAACGCGAAGAACCUUACCUGGUCUUGACAUCCACGGAAGUUUUCAGAGAUGAGAAUGUGCCUUCGGGAACCGUGAGACAGGUGCUGCAUGGCUGUCGUCAGCUCGUGUUGUGAAAUGUUGGGUUAAGUCCCGCAACGAGCGCAACCCUUAUCCUUUGUUGCCAGCGGUCCGGCCGGGAACUCAAAGGAGACUGCCAGUGAUAAACUGGAGGAAGGUGGGGAUGACGUCAAGUCAUCAUGGCCCUUACGACCAGGGCUACACACGUGCUACAAUGGCGCAUACAAAGAGAAGCGACCUCGCGAGAGCAAGCGGACCUCAUAAAGUGCGUCGUAGUCCGGAUUGGAGUCUGCAACUCGACUCCAUGAAGUCGGAAUCGCUAGUAAUCGUGGAUCAGAAUGCCACGGUGAAUACGUUCCCGGGCCUUGUACACACCGCCCGUCACACCAUGGGAGUGGGUUGCAAAAGAAGUAGGUAGCUUAACCUUCGGGAGGGCGCUUACCACUUUGUGAUUCAUGACUGGGGUGAAGUCGGAACAAGGUA
rnacentral:rRNA from 1 species